CCAAUAGCGUAUAUUAAAGUUGUUGCAGUUAAAAAGCUCGUAGUUGAAUUUCGGGAUUGACGUGAUGGUCGUGCCUUAAGGGGUAUGAACUGUUGCUGUUGAUUUCUCACCUUCUGGAGAAACUUGAUGUCCUUAAUUGGGCGUCUUGCGGAUCCAGGACCUUUACCCUGAAAAAAUUAGAGUGUUUAAAGCAGGCAUUUUGCUCGAAUACAUUAGCAUGGAAUAAUAGAAUAGGACGGCAUGGUUCUAUUUUGUUGGUUUCUAGGAUCACCGUAAUGAUUAAUAGGGAUAGUUGGGGGCAUUAGUAUUCAAUUGUCAGAGGUGAAAUUCUUGGAUUUAUUGAAGACUAACUACUGCGAAAGCAUUUGCCAAGGAUGUUUUUAUUAAUCAAGAACGAAAGUUAGGGGAUCGAAGACGAUCAGAUACCGUCGUAGUCUUAACCAUAAACUAUGCCGACUAGGAAUCAGACGAUGUUAAUUUUUUAAUGACUCGUUUGGCACCUUACG
rnacentral:rRNA from 1 species